rnacentral:lncRNA from 1 species
AAGGAGGAGAAGGAAGGCAGGCAGGAAGCACUAAGUAGAAACUUAAGGAAUGUACAGGAACUCUGUGAAGGGAAUUUUGAGAGUUACUGUAGCACAUAAAUGGAGAGUUUUAAUAAUAAGAGAGUGGGAAUGGCAACAAGUAAUACCUUGAACAGGUAAUUCCUCUCCAAAUUAUUCUAUAAAUGUAAUGCACUUAGUCCCAAAUGACACUUGUAGAGAACUUGCAAGAGUUGUUUUCUGGAAGAUGGCAUAGUUAAAAAUAAAUAUCUUUUGUUUAACAAAGGAAUAUUCGUAUUGCCAGAUACGGAAUCGAAACGACAGAACUGAAAUAGUGACACAGGAAUAGAUGGAUGAAUGAGAAGAAUCAACAACUCAGAUGGCAUUUCAGACAAAGAUGGAAGAUGUUCACAAUAUGUGGUUAAAUGAAGAGAACAAGACCAUCCGUCCAUCUGGCCCCAUGUGUGCGUGUGUCUACAUGUGUGUAUCUGAAAUGACGAGUGAAAAUGUUAACAGCUGUCUUCACCGGAGGUAGGAUUAUGGGUGAUUCUUCCUGCCAUUUAAAC